rnacentral:misc_RNA from 1 species
UCCUUUCCUGUCCGAGGAUUAUGAGAUGCAGUUGUGAUACACUGAAGCAUGGAUAUGCUGCUUUCAUUUUUCAUAUUGUUUUUUGUCUUGCCCUCCUCUUUUUGUGUGGAUCUUAUGUACAGAGUAGAAGAAAGCAAGAAUGCCAGAACAUAUUUAGGAGACAUAGCCAAAGAUUCUCACUUGUUAGAUAGAAUACCAGUUCAAGUCCAAGACCAAGUGACUUUUAGUCAGCUGCAAGGUGGGUCUCUCAAGACUCUGCAGUUGUUCAAUGUUACCAAAACCGGAAAGCUAUACACAGCCCAGUCAUUGGAUGCAGAAAACCUUUGUACAUAUAAUACAGAAUGUUUUAAAAUGGUUGACAUUGCAGUAAGACAAGAGGAAACAUUUAUAAAGAUACUCAAAGUAAAGAUUUUAGUAGAAGACAUAAACGAUCAUUCUCCAGAAUUUCCUCAGGAACAAAUCAGUCUAGAAUUUUCUGAGUCUGAUGGAAAAGGAACUUCAAGCUUGAUUCCCAACGCUAUUGACAAAGAUGUUGGACUCUUUAAUUCUCAGAUAACAUAUCAAUUAGAAGACAGUUUGGAUGAGCCUUUUACCUUAUCCGUUUCCAAAAGAGUGGAUGGCACAGCAACACUUGAGAUUGUUUUAAAAGAAAGACUUGAUAGAGAAGCUAAAGACUCUUACAUGCUGCAGGUUGUUGCUAAAGAUGGAGGCUUCCCUUCAAGAAAAAGCAUUUUGAAAGUCCACAUAGCAGUUAAUGACGUAAAUGACAAUCGGCCAGUUUUUCCUCAAAGCAUUUAUAACAUUUCUAUAAAAAACACACACCAAAUGAAUGUUCCUGUGCUAACUUUGUCAGCAACAGAUUUGGAUUCUGGGAAAAACAGUAAAGUUUCCUAUUAUUUUAGUUCCAAAAUAAGCGAUGUUGCCAGGUUAUAUUUUCAACUAAAUAAAGAUGAUGGUAGAAUAUACUUGUGGAAAAAGUUGCCUGCCGGGCAAAAGAAAAACUACAAAUUGUUUGUGGAAGCAAGGGACGGAGGCCGACCUCCUCUCAGUGCCAUUGCUUUGGUUUUUGUUAAUGUGAUCAACCAACAAAAUAAUGCACCGGAGAUAGAUAUAAAUUUUGUGUCGGCAUUAGUAGACAAUACUGCUACAAUUUCAGAAAAGAUUAAAGUUGGAAGUUUCAUUGCAUUCGUGAAAAUCAUAGAUAAUGACUUUGGACAAAAUGGAGAAGUCUCUUGUGAUCUUCACCAUGAAAAAUUUCAGCUUCGAAGUCUAGCAUCGAAGGAAUACAAAGUAAUAUUGAAAAGCCUUGUUAAUCGAGAGGCUGAGGAUCAUUAUGAUAUAAAAAUUACAUGUGAAGAUAUGGGCCAACCACCUUUGAAAGCUCAGCGACAAUUCUCAAUUCAAGUAAUGGAUGUAAAUGAUGUGCAACCACAAUUUACCAAAAAAACAUUUAAAUUUUUGACUUAUGAAAAUGAAGAACUAAAUUUUCCCGUCGGCUUCAUCAAUGCUACUGACCCUGACUUAGAUUCAGGGGGUAAAUUAUCGUAUCAUUUAGUUAGUGAAAACAAAGAUAAAAUUCCAUUUCAGAUUACAAAUUAUGGUUUUAUUUCAACCAUUGAGUCUUUGGACUAUGAACAGAAUAACAACUAUAAAUUCCAAGUCCUAGUAAAAGACAACGGAGAUCCUCAGUUAAACAAUACAGCAAAUGUUAUUGUUGAAGUUAUGGACGAGAAUGACAAUGCUCCGUAUUUCACUUUUCCUAGUGUUAACCCCUUCAGUUUGGAUGUCUACUAUCACCCUCAAAGUGAAAAUGAUAUCACAACAUUAAGAGCUUCAGAUAGAGACAGCCGAGAAAACGCUUUCCUCCGAUAUGAAAUACUUGGGGGAAAUGACCGACAACUGUUUACAGUCAACCCUUACACUGGAGCCAUGUCUUUCUCUCGCACAGUUUACCAAAAUGAUGCUGGGUUAUACAACCUCCAGUUGAUUGUCAAAGAUAGCGGUACUCCAGUUCUGUCAACGUCUACAGCACUAUCCUUGACAUUGACGGUUAGUAAUAAAACGUCCAAAAUGUUCACUGCAGUGAAUACACAAGCAGACAACAGGAUACAUCUUAAUUUAGUUAUAGUCAUAACACUGGCAGCUGUGAUUGUGUCAGUGGCUGUUGUUGUGUCAAUCAUUAUUUGUAUCGUUCGAUGUCACAAUGUGAGGAAUACUCAACAUAUAACUGAAACAAGCUCACCAAACCAAUCAAGGAGUGAAAAAGGACAUCUUAUUUCACAUGCUAAUAAUUUGACGGCGCUGACGUUAAAUUCUGACGAGACAAGAAACAGUACAAAUGCGUCAAUGAUGUCAAAAACACAGCUCUACCAGGAAGAUGAGUUGCCUGUUGAAUGGAAUAAUUUAAAUGCAACAAGAAGCUUGCCAAGAGCUGCACAGAAUUUGGGCCAAAUUAGAACUUGCACACAAACAUUUUGGAGCUGACAUAAUUUAAUAUUCCAUAUACUCAUUCACUCCAGAAUAAAAAUCUACUUCAAAGCCUCCAUUUCUUCCUUCUGAGAAUCACUGUCCCAUGAAACAGUCACUUCAUUCCUCUAUGUGUUGUUCCUACAUUAUGCUAGCCUGAAAGUUUCAUUAAACUCCACAUUCACAACUGCAAUCUCAUCCAUGAAAACCCUAACACACACAAACAAAAUAAGAUGUAUAUACCACAAGCUGCAGUGACAUCUGGUGGGAGAGGAUUUGAAGAGAACACCUUUAUGAGUCCUGAUUGUUGGAGUGACAUGGUGUUCUCUCAUGUGGACA